AUUGAACGCUGGCGGCAGGCCUAACACAUGCAAGUCGAGCGGUAACACAGGGAGCUUGCUCCCGGGUGACGAGCGGCGGACGGAUGAGUAAUGUCUGGGAAACUGCCUGAUGGAGGGGGAUAACUACUGGAAACGGUAGCUAAUACCGCAUAACGUCGCAAGACCAAAGAGGGGGACCUUCGGGCCUCUUGCCAUCAGAUGUGCCCAGAUGGGGUUAGCUAGUAGGUGGGGUAACGGCUCACCUAGGCGACGAUCCCUAGCUGGUCUGAGAGGAUGAGCAGCCACACUGGAACUGAGACACGGUCCAGACUCCUACGGGAGGCAGCAGUGGGGAAUAUUGCACAAUGGGCGCAAGCCUGAUGCAGCCAUGCCGCGUGUAUGAAGAAGGCCUUCGGGUUGUAAAGUACUUUCAGCGGGGAGGAAGGCGAUAAGGUUAAUAACCUUGUCGAUUGAUGUUACCCGCAGAAGAAGCACCGGCUAACUCCGUGCCAGCCGCCGCCGUAAAAC
rnacentral:rRNA from 1 species